rnacentral:rRNA from 1 species
UACGGAGGAUGCGAGCGUUAUCCGGAUUUAUUGGGUUUAAAGGGUGCGUAGGCGGUCCGUUAAGUCAGCGGUCAAAUACGGGGGCUCAACCUGCGUCCGCCGUUGAAACUGGCAGUCUCGAGUUGGAGAGAAGUAUGCGGAAUGCGCGGUGUAGCGGUGAAAUGCUUAGAUAUCGCGCAGAACCCCGAUUGCGAAGGCAGCGUACCGGCUCCACACUGACGCUGAGGCACGAAAGCGUGGGUAUCGAACAGG